UACGUAGGGUGCGAGCGUUAAUCGGAAUUACUGGGCGUAAAGCGUGCGCAGGCGGUUUUGUAAGCCAGAUGUGAAAUCCCCGGGCUUAACCUGGGAAUGGCAUUUGGGACUGCAAGGCUUGAGUGCGGCAGAGGAGACUGGAAUUCCUGGUGUAGCAGUGAAAUGCGUAGAUAUCAGGAGGAACACCGAUGGCGAAGGCAGGUCUCUGGGCUGACACUGACGCUCAUGCACGAAA
rnacentral:rRNA from 1 species